UCCUCCACCCACCUUCUCAGAGAUGUCCCUUUUGGGGUAGUGGGGACAUUAGGAGCAACCUCCUAGGGUUGUUGUGAGAAUUAAAUGAACUGCAGCAGCCUGAGGCAGGGCUGGGCAGAGACCUCAGCACAUGUUUGUUGAAAGGUUUGCAGGUGGAUCUAGCCCUCCCGUUCAUGGCUCAUGUGUCUCAACCAUUCUCCCACAGACUCCUGCAGCCCCUAUGCCCAGGGCUCUCCUUGCGCCAGCCCGGCUUCUCGAGGCCUGUCUACACUCGCUGCUUUCCUUCCUCACCUCCAAUUUCCCCUCCAACCCACUGCUUCCUGACUCGCUCUUCUCCAUCGAACGGCUCUCGCUCAGGUUUAAGACUUGGCUUGCUGGCCCUGGAGAUCCCAUCGCCGUCUUCGUCGAACUCGAACUCCUAGCCGUCGUGCUUCCCUGGCCUGUCGCGUCUUCCUGUGCCAUUUGCCGUUGUACUCAGGUUCCACGAGCUGCCCAUCUCCACAGAAGAGCAGCUGGCAUUGCCCUCCGGCCAUGCUGGCUGAAGAAAAGAAGACUGAGGACCCCAGGACGUCCAGCGCGAGGACCCCAGGAAGCUCAGCGCGAGGACCCCAGGAAGCUCAGCGCGAGGACCCCACCCACAAUGCCCAGCGCGAGGACCUCACGCACAACACGUUGCAACCCUUCUGGAUUAGGCCAAAGCCAUCAUCUGGAAUCCUGCGUGGGACCCUGGACACACGGACACAGACACCUGCCCCUGGGACCCUCCAACUGUAAAUU
rnacentral:lncRNA from 1 species